rnacentral:misc_RNA from 1 species
AUGUUAAUGUGGCUAUUAUAGCAAAUUUCAUUGCAUUGAUAUAUUAUUUUAUAUUUUAAUAUGGUUAUAGAUUAUUUACAUAAAAAUAUUUAUAGAAGGGGUAUGGUGGUAAUUGACUUCACUUAUUUUUACUUUCCCCAGCCUAACCAAACACUAUAAGUACAUUCCAUAGAAAAUUGAAAUUACAAUUAAAUAUGAUAAUGUAACAUUCAUAGAUUAACUUUAUUGGAAAUCUACUUUCCCGUGAAAGUGAUUCCAAAUGAGAAUGUUGAAAUCUGGCAACCAAACUCCCCCCAUAUCCAAGAUUUAUUUGUAGUUAUACAUAAUCCAUUGCUAUAUAUUUAUGCCACCAUAUAAUGGUGCCACCUAUAGUGAAUAUAUGUAGGCCCAUAGCCUCUUCCUGCAUUUUUUUCCCCAAGAUGCAAUAUUCUCUGUUAUUAGUGCUGGAAUGGAUCAAUAUUUCUUCCUUUGGUGAUUUAGUAUAAGAAAAUCCAUCUAGUUUGGCAUUAUUAAGCUUUAUCAUCAGG